UCUUCCAAAUGAACCAUUUUUUUCAAAACUCUUGCAUGUGAUUGGAUUAAGAAUCUGUCCGUCAUUUUGACUGACACGCCAUUUCAGCCACUCCCGUUGACUCAAUCCGUGACGUAGUUCACAGCGACACCACGCAGGAGGCAAGACUUUUCAUCACAACAAACAUGGCGGCGGCUGGAAGUAAACGGAGUAAACUUUCUAUAAACGAACAUUGCCCUAUAUGCAGGGGAUAUCUAAGGACAAAUGGUAAUAUCUGCAACCGCCCAUGGAUAUUUGAAGAACUUCCCUACGGGAAAGGGUAAACCAGCGCCCAGCUGAACUUGAUCGAAACUUGUGAAACUUCUCCGAAAAAUCCUGUCGCAUGCCUGAAAUGCCUGCUGUAAUUUAACCCAGCGUUCUCAAGGUACAUACGAUGCAGAAAUGCAAAGCAGGGCCAAACAUGCUGCAUUCAAUGGGUACGAAGACGGUGUGAGGAACAACAUAACAGCUCUCUUCCUGGUGGCAGCCAUGGAGCACCUAGGGGCUUCAUUAAGUGUCAGAUAUCCCUGACGGCUUCAUACCUGACCACAUAACCAUGGGCUCUGAAGAGGGAAAAAAAAAAGUAACAGGCUACAUCCGGUAGUGGCCCGGGUGGUCAACAAAUGCCAUUUUCCACAUGCAGUCCAGGAGGGAGACGUAUAACUAUACUGUAGAUUUGAUAUUUUUACAAGGCCUUUAGCCACAGUGUGCCCACAGCGCACUGCUCGUAAUUCUGCAGGUAAAUUUCACUCUUUCGCAUCGCUUAGCCCACAGCACCUUAACAACUUGAAGUCAUCAAUCUGAAGUCAUUUUUAGAACAUAGUUGUCCCGGUCUCACUGAAACAAACAGCAGAUUGGACCAGCAUGUCUAUUGGACUCCUGCAGAAAAUCAUGGUGAACAGACAGACAAAUGCACACUGGAGCACAUUAUGUUGCUAGUCACACAGAGGAUAUUUUCAGAGAGGCUGAGUUGUUUUCACCCCCCCAUCUAGUUAUGACAUUCUGAUAAAUCGCAAAAGCAGUAACCUGUGGCGCAGGAUCAAAGCUAAAUUGAAAGAGCGCCAAGACUAAUAUGAAAUUGGUGGAGUAAAUGCAUGUACUGUAAUAAUGUAUGUCAAUAAUUUGUGUAUGUAAGUAGUGUAUAUAAAAUAACCCAGUGCAACUUUUUUUCCCAUAAGAUUCUGUUGCCUUUCUGUGAAUGCAUAUAAAAAAGGUUAAGGUAUGUUGUGUCACUUGA